AGAGUUUGAUCAUGGCUCAGGACGAACGCUGGCGGCGUGCUUAAUACAUGCAAGUCGAGCGAGGUUACUGCGACAGAUCCCUUCGGGGUGAAGUUGCUUUAACCUAGCGGCGGACGGGUGAGUAACGCGUGGGUAACCUACCCUAAAGUUCGGGAUAACAGCGGGAAACCGCUGCUAAUACCGGAUGCCUUUACCGUGUGGCAUCACAAGGUAAAGAAAGGUGACGCUUUAGGAUGGGCCCGCGUCCCAUUAGCUAGUUGGUGAGGUAACAGCUCACCAAGGCGACGAUGGGUAGCCGGCCUGAGAGGGUGGACGGCCACACUGGGACUGAGACACGGCCCAGACUCCUACGGGAGGCAGCAGUAGGGAAUAUUGCGCAAUGGACGGAAGUCUGACGCAGCGACGCCGCGUGAGCGAUGAAGGCCUUCGGGUUGUAAAGCUCUGUCCUUGGGGAAGAAGGUCUUCGGACUUGACGGUACCCAAGAAGAAAGCCCCGGCUAACUACGUGCCAGCAGCCGCGGUAAUACGUAGGGGGCGAGCGUUGUCCGGAAUUACUGGGCGUAAAGGGUGCGUAGGCGGCCCUUUAAGUCAGAUGUGAAAGCCCGCAGCUUAACUGCGGAAUUGCAUUUGAAACUGGAGGGCUUGAGUGUCGGAGAGGGUAGUGGAAUUCCCAGUGUAGCGGUGAAAUGCGUAGAUAUUGGGAGGAACACCAGUGGCGAAGGCGACUGCCUGNACGAUAACUGACGCUGAGGCACGAAAGCUAGGGGAGCAAACAGGAUUAGAUACCCUGGUAGUCCUAGCCGUAAACGAUGGGUACUANGUGUAGNUGGUUUCGAUACCAUCUGUGCCGUANUUAACGCAUUAAGUACCCCGCCUGGGGAGUACGUGCGCAAGCAUGAAACUCNAAGGAAUUGACGG
rnacentral:rRNA from 1 species